CCUUCCCCCCAACCCCAACAGGUUUGCAGUGCAGACCGUUAAAGCCCUGCUGCGCCAGCUGCUGGAUGAGGACGUGUUGAUGGUGAUCGAUCACAAGUGUGUCUGGGACAUGCUCCUCAAGGCUGACAGCCACCACUAUGCAGUGGGUCUGCUGGCCAGGGAGCUGUGCCGUGUCUCCCACUCCUUCUGCCGCAGCAUCACCGUCAGCCUGCUCCCGCG